AUUGAACGCUGGCGGCAUGCUUUACACAUGCAAGUCGAACGGUAACAGGCCGCAAGGUGCUGACGAGUGGCGAACGGGUGAGUAAUGCAUCGGAACGUGCCCAGUCGUGGGGGAUAACGCAGCGAAAGCUGUGCUAAUACCGCAUACGAUCUAUGGAUGAAAGCGGGGGACCGUAAGGCCUCGCGCGAUUGGAGCGGCCGAUGUCAGAUUAGGUAGUUGGUGGGGUCAAGGCCUACCAAGCCGACGAUCUGUAGCUGGUCUGAGAGGGCUAUCACCCACGCUGGGACUGAGACACGGCCCAGACUCCUAGGCGAGGCAGCAGUGGGGAAUUUUGGACAAUUGGCGCAAGCCUGAUCCAGCAAUGCCGCGUGCAGGAAGAAGGCCUUCGGGUUGUAAACUGCUUUUGUACGGAACGAAACGGUCUGGGUUAAUACCCUGGGCUAAUGACGGUACCGUAAGAAUAAGCACCGGCUAACUACGUGCCAGCCGCCGCUGUAACAC
rnacentral:rRNA from 1 species